rnacentral:rRNA from 1 species
UACGUAGGUGGCAAGCGUUGUCCGGAUUUACUGGGCGUAAAGCGAACGCAGGCGGAUCUUUAAGUAGGAAGUGAAAGGUUGGAGCUCAACUCUGACACUGCUCCCUAUACUGGAGAUCUUGAGUUCUGGAGAGGAAAGCGGAACGACACGUGUAGCGGUGAAAUGCGUUGAUAUGUGUCGGAACACCGAUGGCGAAAGCAGCUUUCUGGACAGCAACUGACGCUGAGGUUCGAAAGCCAAGGGAGCGAAC